UAGGUGAAUUAAUGUCAGAACAUUCCCACUUCCCAUCCUAAGACAAGGUCUUACAUGACCUUGCUUACAAGAUUUGUUUGUCUAUAUUUGUUGAUGCAUCUGCUGACAGAAUCGAUGAAAGUCAUCAAGAGAACAGCAAGGAGGCCCCAGUAGAGAAUGAAGAAGAGGAGGGGUGAGAGGUGAGAGCCACACCAGCAGGAGUAUUGAAAUACCUUCUUGGGGCUUCCUUCUUCCUUUGACAGACCUCAUAAAAUGUUGGUUUCUGUUUUUAACCUUUUAUAUAGGGUCUAUAUAUUGGAAAUCGAUGUCUAUACUCUGUAGAAUUGUGUAACAGACCUCCAAUCUCUUCUACCCACUGAAUGUAUUUCACAGUGAAAUAUAUUGAGUGAAAAAAACCUUUUAAAAUAAAUUUCUUUCUUUUCAAAAAAUUCGCUUUUUUUGAGAGAGUUUCAUAGAC
rnacentral:lncRNA from 1 species